CCUACGGGUGGCAGCAGUGGGGAAUAUUGGACAAUGGGGGAAACCCUGAACCAGCGACGCCGCGUGAGGGAAGAAGUAUUUCGGUACGUAAAGCCCUAUCAGCAGGAAAGAAAAUGACGGUACCUGACGAAGAAGCCCCGGCUAACUACGUGCCAGCAGCCGCGGUAAUACGUAGGGGGCAAGCGUUACCCGGAUUUACUGGGAGUAAAGGGAGCGUAGGCGGGAGAGCAAGUCUGAAGUGAAAUGCCAGGGCCCAACCCUAGAACUGCUCUGGAAACUGUGAAGCUAGAGUGCGGGAGAGGUAGGCGGAAUUCCUGGUGUAGCGGUAAAAUGCGUAGAUAUCAAGAGGAACAC
rnacentral:rRNA from 1 species